UACGGGGGGAGCAAGCGUUGUUCGGAUUUACUGGGCGUAAAGGGCGCGUAGGCGGCCACCGCAAGUCGACUGUGAAAUCUCCGGGCUUAACUCGGAAAGGUCAGCCGAUACUGCGGGGCUAGAGUGCAGAAGGGGCAACUGGAAUUCUCGGUGUAGCGGUGAAAUGCGUAGAUAUCGAGAGGAACACCUGCGGCGAAGGCGGCUUGCUGGCUCGCAACUGACGCUGAGGCGCGAAAGCGUGGGGAGCAAACAGG
rnacentral:rRNA from 1 species